UAUAUAUAUAUAUAUAUAUAUAUAUAUGUGUGUGUGUGUCAGGGCAGUGCCUACCUCGGGUAAAAUAGAUCGAUAGCAAUAUUUUCCUUUCGUGACAAAAUAUGCACCUAACUCAAUAAAAUCAUGAAGGCUACUCUGAUUACUAUGUAUAAAAUGCAAAUAUCUAUAUUUUUUUUUUGUAGAUUAGGUAGGCAUAAUUCAUUCCUGCUUUUCAAACUCAGUAUUUAAGCUAUGCAUAAUACUUCCAUAGUACACAUGCUGAGUAUACUCCUACAACAA